UACGUACUGUGCGAACGUUAUUCGGAAUCACUGGGCUUAAAGGGUGCGUAGGCGGCCUGUUAAGUAGGGUGUGAAAUGCCAGAGCUCAACUUUGGCAUUGCGCUCUAGACUGGCUGGCUUGAGUGAGAUAGGGGUGUGCGGAACUUCCAGUGGAGCGGUGAAAUGUGUUGAUAUUGGAAGGAACGCCGGUGGCGAAAGCGGCACACUGGGUCUUAACUGACGCCGAUGCACGAAAGCCAGGGGAGCGAACGGG
rnacentral:rRNA from 1 species